AAUACAACUCUCAACAACGGAUAUCUUGGCUCCCGUAUCGAUGAAGAACGCAGCGAAAUGCGAUACGUAGUGUGAAUUGCAGAAUUCCGUGAACCAUCGAAUCUUUGAACGCAACUUGCGCCCGAGGCUUCGGCUAAAGGCAUGUCUGCCUCAGCGUC
rnacentral:rRNA from 1 species